ACGUAGGGGGCAAGCGUUGUCCGGAAUCAUUGGGCGUAAAGCGCGCGUAGGCGGCCCUGUAAGUCCGUUGUGAAAGUCAAAGGCUCAACCUUUGAAAGCCGAUGGAUACUGCAGGGCUAGAGUCCGGAAGAGGCGAGUGGAAUUCCUGGUGUAGCGGUGGAAUGCGCAGAUAUCAGGAGGAACACCAAUAGCGAAGGCAGCUCGCUGGGACGGUACUGACGCUAAGGCGCGAAAGCGUGGGGAGCGAACAGGA
rnacentral:rRNA from 1 species